GCCUGGGUGGCUCAGUUGGUUAAGCAUCUGACUUUGGCUGCGGUUAAGAUCUUGCAGUUUGUGGGUUCAAGCCCCACACCAGGCU
rnacentral:tRNA from 1 species